UACGUAGGGUGCGAGCGUUGUCCGGAAUUAUUGGGCGUAAAGAGCUUGUAGGCGGUCUGUCGCGUCUGCUGUGAAAACCCAGGGCUUAACCCUGGGCUUGCAGUGGAUACGGGCAGACUAGAGGCAGGUAGGGGAGAAUGGAAUUCCCGGUGUAGCGGUGAAAUGCGCAGAUAUCAGGAGGAACACCGGUGGCGAAGGCGGGUCUCUGGGCCGUAACUGACGCUGAGGAGCGAAAGCAUGGGGAGCGAACAGG
rnacentral:rRNA from 1 species